rnacentral:rRNA from 1 species
UGAAUACGAGAUGCUACGGCGUCGAAGCAGUGUAUGUCAGACUUCCAAGAAAAGCUCGCAAUGUCAUAAAUAAAGAAUGCCUGUACCAUAACCGACACAGGUGGGUAGGUAGAGUAUACUAAGGGGCGCGAGAUAACUCUCUCUAAGGAACUCGGCAAAAUAACUCCGUAACUUCGGGAGAAGGAGUGCCUUCUUUAAGAAGGUUGCAAUAACAAGAUCCAAGCAACUGUUUAUCAAAAACACAGGUCUCCGCUAAGUCGUAAGGCGAUGUAUGGGGGCUGACGCCUGCCCAGUGCCAGAAGGUUAAAGAAGCUGGUUAGCAAUAGCGAAGCUGGUGACUGAAGCCCUGGUGAACGGCGGCCGUAACAAUAACGGUCCUAAGGUAGCGAAAUUCCUUGUCGGGUAAGUUCCGACCCGCACGAAAGGCGUAAUGAUUUGGAUACUGUCUCGGAGAGGGACUCGGUGAAAUAGACUUGUCUGUGAAGAUGCGGACUACCUGCACCAGGACAGAAAGACCCUAUGAAGCUUUACUGUAACCUGAAAUUGAAAUUGGACUUUAUUUGCGCAGUAUAGGUGUGAGCGUUGAAAGUAAUCUUGCGGGAUUAGUGGAGCCAUCAGUGAGAUACCACUCCUAUAAUGUUAGAUUUCUAACUUUGGAUCAUGAUCUGGUCAAAGAACAGUUUCAGGCGGGCAGUUUGACUGGGGCGGUCGCCUCCCAAAUGGUAACGGAGGCGUACAAAGGUUUCCUCUGAACGGGUAGAAAUCGUAUCUAGAGUGUAAAGGCAUAAGGAAGCUUGACUGUGAGACCUACAAGUCGAGCAGGGACGAAAGUCGGUCUUAGUGAUCUGACGGUGCUGAGUGGAAAGGCCGUCACUCAACGGAUAAAAGUUACUCUAGGAUAACAGGCUGAUCUCCCCCAAGAGUUCACAUCGACGGGGAGGUUUGGCACCUCGAUGUCGGCUCAUCGCAUCCUGGGGCGGUAGUACGUCCCAAGGGUUGGGCUGUUCGCCCAUGAAAGCGGUACGCGAGCUGGGUUCAGAACGUCGUGAGACAGUUCGGUCCAUAUCCGGUGUAGGCGUUAGAAUAUUGAGAGGAGCCUUCUCUAGUACGAGAGGACCGAGAAGGACAUACCUCUGGUGUACCAGUUAUCGUGCCAACGGUAAACGCUGGGUAGCUAUGUAUGGAGAGGAUAACCGCUGAAAGCAUCUAAGUGGGAAGCCCACCUCAAGAUGAGUAUUCUCAUC